rnacentral:rRNA from 1 species
UAAGGGCGCACGGUGGAUGCCUUGGCACUAGAAGCCGAUGAAGGACGUUACUAACGACGAUAUGCUUUGGGGAGCUGUAAGUAAGCUUUGAUCCAGAGAUUUCCGAAUGGGGAAACCCAGCAUGAGUUAUGUCAUGUUAUCGAUAUGUGAAUACAUAGCAUAUCAGAAGGCACACCCGGAGAACUGAAACAUCUUAGUACCCGGAGGAAGAGAAAGAAAAUUCGAUUCCCUUAGUAGCGGCGAGCGAAACGGGAAGAGCCCAAACCAACAAGCUUGCUUGUUGGGGUUGUAGGACACUCUAUACGGAGUUACAAAGGACGACAUUAGACGAAUCAUCUGGAAAGAUGAAUCAAAGAAGGUAAUAAUCCUGUAGUCGAAAAUGUUGUCUCUCUUGAGUGGAUCCUGAGUAC